GAUGAACGCUAGCGGCAGGCUUAACACAUGCAAGUCGAGGGGUAACAGGAUUUAGUUUACUAGAUUGCUGACGACCGGCGCACGGGUGAGUAACGCGUAUACAAUUUGCCUUUUACUGAAGAAUAGCCCAGAGAAAUUUGGAUUAAUGCUUCAUGGUAUUAUUUGGUCACCUGACCGAGUAAUUAAAGUUCCGGCGGUAAAAGAUGAGUAUGCGUCCUAUUAGCUAGAUGGUAAGGUAACGGCUUACCAUGGCGACGAUAGGUAGGGGUCCUGAGAGGGAGAUCCCCCACACUGGUACUGAGACACGGACCAGACUCCUACGGGAGGCAGCAGUGAGGAAUAUUGGGCAAUGGAGGCAACUCUGACCCAGCCAUGCCGCGUGCAGGAAGACUGCCCUAUGGGUUGUAAACUGCUUUUAUACAGGAAGAAACUUACCCACGUGUGGGUAACUGACGGUACUGUAAGAAUAAGGACCGGCUAACUCCGUGCCAGCAGCCGCGGUAAUACGGAGGGUCCAAGCGUUAUCCGGAAUCAUUGGGUUUAAAGGGUCCGUAGGCGGGCAAUUAAGUCAGAGGUGAAAUCCCACAGCUCAACUGUGGAACUGCCUUUGAUACUGGUUGUCUUGAGUUAUAGUGAAGUAGAUAGAAUAUGUAGUGUAGCGGUGAAAUGCAUAAGAUAUUACAUAGAAUACCGAUUGCGAAAGGCAGUCUACUAACUGUACACUGACGCUAAUGGGACGAAAGCGUGGGGAGCGAACAGG
rnacentral:rRNA from 1 species